GGAGGCCGGGAAGGGGAUGGAGAGGCACGGGGAACGGGGCGGGCACGAGUUGGUUUGUUCCAGUUGUCAGGGUAGCCCGAGACGUCGGAGGUCCAGGGUUGAAGCCGAGUUGAAGUCACGUGCUUUUCUCCGCCGGGCCUGUUAAAGGUUGCUGUCCAUGUAAGUAAUGAGAAGCAGAGCCUGGAAUUCCCACAUGCGCACAAAGCUGCACAAAGCUUCAAUGACUACAAUGACCCUCCUAUGCUGAUGAUGAUCACCACCACCACCAUCUUGGACCUACUGAGCAUGCACCGAUGAUGCAACCUGGAAGAAC